UACAUCUGCCCAUGUCAGGGAUGUUGGAAGUAGAUGAUCUUUAAGGUUCCUUCCAACCCAAACCAUCCUAUGACUAUUUCAUAAAUCCUUUCAACACACAGAAGAUUCAGAAAGGAGUCCUGCUCUUUUUGUCCCUUCUGCACCAACAGAAUAUAUAUCUCAGAAAUUGAUUCCAAGAUUUUAAAGAAUAUAUACAAGUCAAUCUUAAUUGCAUUUUCUAUGUCAUCUUCUCUGGAUGGUGGGGAAAAAAGUAAUCAAAGACAAACAAAAAAAGCUAACAUGCUAGCAAAAAAAGGAGAAACUUAAUCUCAUUUCCCUAAGUGGAAUCAUAUUAUAUCUGUAUUUUGAAACGGAAAUAAAAAUGUUAUCAUCCAUUUCUGUUUCUGCAACACGGUUGGACAAGACAUGGGGACAAAAAGCAGAUUCGCUCCAGUUGCCUAAUUGGACAGAAGUAGUUGCUGAAUGCCAGCCUGACCUAAAUGGAACUGAAGGAUUUUCACCAACCUUUCAUCCUUUUGUAUAUUCUAAGGUUAAUCUUCCUUCCUUUUUGAUUCCCUCACUAGGCUGCAGCUGGGAGAACAAGAGGCACAGCUGAACUCAGAGCAUCUUUCCAUCCUAGCUGAUAAGAAAGUGGUUUGCUUGAGGCAAGAGCUAAAUGACCUGUUCAUAAUCAAUGUUUUUCAAUUAAUUUAAUCUUUUUUCUUGCACAUCAGUUUGUCAUGAAGAGACCAGAUUAUAUAAAUACACUCCUCAUCUAAUGACGUUUGAUGAAUGCUUCAAGAGAAAAUAAAGUAACUGCCUUUGUAUUGAUAAAAACUGUCACUUCAAGGCAGUUUGCCACUCAUUAUGGCAUCUCUGCUGCAAGUACAGCUAAGCACAUGGGCUUAUCAGGACCACUCUGAAGUUGUCCCCUGGACAGGACAAAGCAACAGAUCUGAGUGAAUGAGCAAAAAAUCAACAGCACCUUCUCCAGAUGACAGUGAGCACAAACUGUGCAAGGCUUCAUAAAAACCUCCUGUUGCAAUCACCCAACUUCCCCAUACUUUGAAUUCUAAGGAGCUGUGGAAGGAACCACAUUGUCUCCAUCAGCCUUGGGGAACACACCUACACAGAUGAAUGGGGAAAAAACCUAAUAUAAAUCUUGAGCAGUCACCAACAAUCUCUGUCUAUUCACCAUUAUCCAGUUUUAUCCCUAAAAGCAGCUCUGGCUGUCAGUACCCAGAAUUACAGAUUUGGCCAGAGAAGAUGCAAAAUCUGGGUUUCCCAUUGACCAGUGCCAGUGUGGCCAGUCAUAAGCUGGUCCAAGCAGUCCUCUAAAGCAGCUGCUAAAGUAGGGAUGAAAAAAUCCUGCCAGUGCUAAAAACCCCUGAGUCUCACACAGCCUUUUUGUAACAAAUAAUAAGACUGUUUUGAUUUCAGUACUGUUAAUUGAAUAAAUAAUAUCAGUAGUAAUA